CAUAUACUCCCUCCGUCCAGAAAUACUUGUCAUCAAAAUGAAUAAAAGGGAAUGUAUCUAGACAUAUUUUAGUUCUAGAUACAUCCCUUUUUAUCCAUUUUGAUGACAAGUAUUUCCGGACGAAGGGAGUACUAU
rnacentral:pre_miRNA from 1 species